AAUUCCCUGCCUGUUGCGUGAGCAGGCAUUGCGCCACAGCCAACACUAUUUAGAAGGGAGCUUUUCUCUCCUACUGCUGAGGCAGUGGGAGGCGGCGCCCACCUGUAUGAGGACCGGACUGUUGGUGGUAAGCCUGCCACGGACACAAGGCAGGGUUUUU
rnacentral:other from 1 species